UAAAAUUUCGCUGGUGAAUAUUCUAUNCGUGUGGGUGUGCCCUCGGUUUAAAAANAAGNUCGUCGUUGUAUNUUGCNUAAAGGCUCCCCGGUGUUCUUUUUCUCCGGGUAUAAANAUCCGUACAAAACUAUGANAAAUCUGCUGGUUUGGAAAAAAAUAUUUCCCCCCCCAUAGUGGUGGCGCUUUUUUCCAAAAACCCCCUUUUUUGUGGGGNACAACCUUGUCGCCCAACUCUGUUUGUNUGUGUAAAAAACCUUCNGGUGCUCCUCGUAANGCUUUUUACGAAGGUCUANGUGUUUCNAAGAAAGCUGNUUGGUGUGCUUAAGGAAAUUUUCCCACGNUUGUAAAUCCCUAGUGUGUGAAAAAUUGGCCGGUUAAGGNAUUUAUUGUUUGGGNACGGGUAAUUAACCCGGAUGUGCUGCCGUAUAAGGGUGCAAAGNNGCUCCGCCCCUUUGGGGGGGAACUCAAAUUAACCUUGGGACCGGGCUUGCANGAACCNNCGUGAAAAAAGUCCGUUUUGGUGGGAAGCCAAUNACCAGGGGAAAUUUUAGGAUUAAUCCCUUGGGUUAGGUUCCCAACCGGCCUCUCUUUAAACCGGAAUGGUUCCAAACUUAGUCUUGUUUGGUGGCCGGUUAAGGCCUUAAUGUAGCGCAUGCUAACGCGUGAAGUCUUGAACCCGCCUGGGGGGAGUCUACGGGUCAGCAAAGAUUAAAAACUUCCAAAAAGGAAAUUGGAACGGGGGACACCCCGCACCAAAGCCGGGUGGGAUUGAAUGUUGGGAUUUAAAUUUCCGAAUUGCCAAACGGCCGAAAAAACCUUUAACCUUACCCCUUUGACAAUGGUUCCUGGGAAAUGGCGCCGAAGAAGAAUUUUGGGCAGUGCUCCGCCAAAGAGAAACCCGGAAACCAACAGGGUGCUUGCAAUGGGCUGUUCGGUCCAAGGCUCGUUGUCGGUGAGUAUGUUUGGGUUAAGUCCCCGCAACCGAGCGCAACCCCUUGUCAUUAGUUGCUACGCAAGAGCACUCUAAUGAGACUGCCGGUGACAAACCGGAGGAAGGUGGGGAUGACGUCAAGUCCUCAUGGCCCUUAUGGGUAGGGCUUCACACGUCAUACAAUGGUCGGGAACAAGAAGGGUUCGCCCAACCCCGCNGAGGGGGGAGCCAAUCUCAGAAACCCGAUCGUAGUCCGGAUCGCAGUCUGCAACUCGACUGCGUGAAGUCGGAAUCGCUAGUAAUCGCGGAUCAGAAUGUCGCGGUGAAUACGUUCCCGGGUCUUGUACACACCGCCCGUCACACCAUGGGAGUGGGUUUCACCAGAAGUAGUAGCCUAACCGUAAGGAGGCGCUACCACGUGGAUCAUGACUG
rnacentral:rRNA from 1 species